ensembl:lncRNA
UGUUGGACAAUUCCCAGCUCUUGGUGUCACCCCACGUUGGAUGAUUCCCGGCUCCGGUGUCCCCAGUGUUGGACAAUUCCCAGCUCUUGGUGUCACCCCACGUUGGAUGAUUCCCGGCUCCGGUGUCCCCAGUGUUGGACAAUUCCCAGCUCUUGGUGUCACCCCACGUUGGAUGAUUCCCGGCUCCGGUGUCCCCAGUGUUGGACAAUUCCCAGCUCUUGGUGUCACCCCACGUUGGAUGAUUCCCGGCUCCGGUGUCCCCAGUGUUGGACAAUUCCCAGCUCUUGGUGUCACCCCACGUUGGAUGAUUCCCGGCUCCGGUGUCCCCAGUGUUGGACAAUUCCCAGCUCUUGGUGUCACCCCACGUUGGAUGAUUCCCGGCUCCGGUGUCCCCAGUGUUGGACAAUUCCCAGCUCUUGGUGUCACCCCACGUUGGAUGAUUCCCGGCUCCGGUGUCCCCAGUGUUGGACAAUUCCCAGCUCUUGGUGUCACCCCACGUUGGAUGAUUCCCGGCUCCGGUGUCCUCAGUGUUGGACAAUUCCCAGCUCUUGGUGUCACCCCACGUUGGAUGAUUCCCGGCUCCGGUGUCCCCAGUGUUGGACAAUUCCCGGCUCCUGGUGUCACCUCAGUUCAGACGAUUCCCGGCUCCAAUGUCCCCAGAGUUGGACAAUCCACAGCUCUUGCUGCGGUCACCCCAGGGUUGGACAUUCCCCAGCUCUGAUGUCACCCCAGGUUGGAUGUUUCCCAGCUCCGGUGUCACCCCAGGUCAGACAUUUUCCAGCUCCAAUGUCCCCAACAUCAGACUUUUCCAGCUCCUGGUGUUGCCCCAGGUCGGAUGAUUCCCGGCUCCGGUGUCCCCAAAGAUGGACAAUCCCCAGCUCUUGGUGUCCCCCCAGGUUGGAUGUUUCCCGGCUCUGAUGUCCCCCAACAUCAGAUGUUUCCUGCCUCCGACGUCCCCCCAGGUCAGACAUUUGCUGUCGCCGCUGCUGUCCUUGUUCAUUGGCUCCGGUGUCCCCCCAGGUCGGACAGUUGUUGGCUCUGACAUCCGCUUCGGUGUUGGUCAGCUCCUAUGUCCCCCACGUUGGACGUUUGCCGGCGCCGGCGCUUUUGGUGUUUGCCAGUUCCAGUAUCGGCUGCUUUUGGUGUCCACCAGCCCCAAUAUCUGCCACGUUUGGUGUCCACCAGCUCCAGGAGCCGCAGGUCGGACAUUUCGUGGCUCUCAACUUCCCCCAGGUCAGACAUUUUCCAGUGCCAAAACCCACCAGUUUUGGGGUCCACCAGCUCCAACAUCUACCAGUUUCAGCGUCCACCAGCUCCAACACCCGCAGGUCGGACGUUUCCCCGUCUCCGCUGCCCACUGGCUUCCAACGUCCCCCACGUCAGGCACUUUCCAGUGCCGAAAACCACCGCUUUUGGUGUUUGCUGGCUCCAUCUCCUACAGGUUGGACGUCCCACAGCUUGGACGUCCACUGGCUUCAACGUCCCCCAGGUCCAACAAUUCUCCCAUAAUCAGAGCCCUAUGGGUGCUCCUGCCCCAUAACCAGACACCUAUGGGUUCUUCCAGCCCAUAACUGGACCCUUACGGGUGCUCCCACCCCAUAACU